GGAAUAUAAGAAUCCGUCUCUUAACUUUUAACUAAAAAAAUUAAGAACCGGUUCUUAAAAUUCUUAUUUAAGAACCGGUUCUUAGCUUUUUUAGUUAAAAGUUAAGAAACGGGUUCUUAUAUUCC
rnacentral:pre_miRNA from 1 species